rnacentral:rRNA from 1 species
UACAGAGGGUGCAAGCGUUAAUCGGAAUUACUGGGCGUAAAGCGCGCGUAGGUGGUUUGUUAAGUUGGAUGUGAAAUCCCCGGGCUCAACCUGGGAACUGCAUUCAAACUGACUGACUAGAGUAUGGUAGAGGGUGGUGGAAUUUCCUGUGUAGCGGGUGAAAUGCGUAGAUAUUAGGAAGGAACACCAGUGGCGAAAGGCGACCACCUGGACUAAUACUGACACUGAGGUGCGAAAGCGUGGGGAGCAAACAGG